AGGUAACUCAGCCAUCGGAGACAACGGAGUAGGAUCCAGCUCAGCCGCAUCCCUAGUAGCAGACGAAGCGGGGGUAGCUGACGGAGCCCCGACCGGAGUAGCAGAUGGAGCCAUAGUAGCUGACGGAGCCCCGACCGGAGUAGCAGAUGGAGAUGGAGACGGAGCCGAAGCCUCUACCGCCUGAGUGGCUGCAAUAUGGUCGCCGCGCCUGGUAGAAGCAUGCAAGCGCUCGUGUCGAUCCGCUGGAUCCUCACUAGUAGAAGCAUGUCGCGACCUCUUCCUCCCGCCCUUCAUUCUCGCUAUCUGUGCAAAACAAACAAAUUUAACAAUACUUGUCAUAAUAAGUAAAGCAUUUUCACAUAUGAGCAUAUCAUUUGAGUCAUUUCUUUACUUAAUC
rnacentral:lncRNA from 1 species